UUAUUUUAUCACAGAGGUCGGUAAUCCAGAGGUGGAGCAAAGGUACAGGACGGCAGGCAGGCUCAGAGUCAGGGACAGGCCGAGUGGUCAGGUGGGCAGGUGGGCAGGUACAUGGUCAGGACAGGCAAGGGUCAAAAACCAGGAGGGUGAAAAAAAGAGACUGGGGAAAAACAGGAGCUGAGACAAAACGCUGGUAGGCUUGAACAAACAAGACCAGACAAACUACCCAGGGGAUAAGUGGGGAAGAUGGGCGACACCUGGAGGAGGUGGAGAUGAGCACAAGCACAAGGACAGAUGAAACAGAUCAGGGCGUGACAUAGAUGAAUGCACUUACUUUAUGUCGCUCUGAAUAAGAAUCUGAACAAGCUGAUGACUAACCUCUGCUGCACUCACUUUGUCCUUAGCCUUAUCCCCAACGAGACCAAGACUCCAGGUAUAGCAUUCAACUGAGAUCCAAUUAAAUCUGAGUGCCAAGGAAAUCGUAGGAACAUAUGUUAUUUACUGUAAGUGCUCCAGAGAGCGUCUUCUCUCUGAUUGAUAACCCCCUCUGCAGUGAUCAUGGAUACCUUCUUGAAGCUGCACCAGCUUCGCUGGAACGGUUUGCUGGUGGGUGUCAGGAUCUGCAGGAAGGGAUUUCUAAACAACAUAAUCUACGCAGAGUUUUAACAGUGCUAUCACAUCAUGAACCCACAUGCCAUCGCUGAUGAUGCGUUUGUGGACAGCAGGAAAGCAACAGAGAAACUGUUCGGGUCCCUCGAGAUCGACCACAACCAGUACAAGUUUGGACAUACUAAGGUGUUAUUUAACACAUUUAAGGCAGGUCUGCUGGGGCAGCUAGAGGAGAUGAGGGAUGAGCGUCUGGCCAAGGUCCUCAUGCUGCUCCAGACUGUCAGCUGAGAAUAGAGCUCCAGAAUGUGAUGGCGAGAAGGUAACAGAUCAUGGCUUAAUUUGCUCUAGUAAAGUACCUAAAUUAAUUCCGUUGUCCUAGAGUACUGGGGAGGUACUGUAUUAUCUCUUUGGAGUGCAGGAGUGUUGUCACAUCAUAAUGGAACAAUUCCGGAACACUUCAUAGGAAUAUAAAUACAUCAGUGAAAACAAACCAACUUCUCCACCAGCUGCUUCCUCCAGCAGGUUCAAUAGUAAUGUGAUCACGUGCACCUUUCAGUUUGUGAUAUAUUAUAACUUUGUGCACACUCUCAUGGUCUUGUAUGUGUGGUAUGCAAGGGCAAUGUUAGCAGUGUGUGUGAGGCGUGUGCUUGUUCAUGUAUGGUUGCCGUGCAAGUGUGUGGCCCCAUGUUAAUAUUGACCCCAUUCCCCCCUCGCUCACACAAAUUCUUCCCCACUCGUCCCCACCCCUCUCCCCUCUCUGCUCUUCCUAAAUUAAACAAUGCUGAUGGUGUCCUUAGAGCCAGGUGGCGACAUGUGUCAAGUAGCAGCUGCUCGGGCCCACACUAAAAGUACCCCCGCCUGCCCCGUGGCCCCUAGCCUCUUUUGUUCCAGGCGCCUGCAGUUCUAAGUGAGCACAUAGAUGGGAUAUGUGGUGGGUGACAGAGGAUUAUAGCCUGUCGUCUAACAGAGGGCUUUAGUUUCUAAAUAAACACAGAGAUGCUCACGUUUGAGAGGCAAUGAGAACAGAGUCACGUCUGAAAUGCAAUCAUACUCAUACCACAGCGACCACCCAUUCACCCAUUCACCCUGCUACCCCCGACACCCUGCCUGGCCAUGGCCCUGCACUCACUCACGCACACAUUCACAACUCUGACAGGAAGUGCCUGACCAUGUUGCAAAAAGGUCAUUUUUGUCUUCAUACAAUGCCACAUCGUAUUGCCUGCCUGUUAUUAGAUUUCUUAGUUUUACUUUUUUUCCAGCCACCUAAACUUUGACAUUCCCCAUAAUCUUCCCUAAAACAGUAGGGAGGUUGUUUGGAGCAAGAGAAGAAGGAUGGACCUGGAAUGGGUCAAGUGCAAGCUGGAGGGGGACCUGAAGCUAUCCACGGAGUCUGUCAUGGACCUGCAGAAUGACAAGCAGCAACUUCAAUAGAAGCUGACCAAGAGACUUUGAAAUUAACCAGAUCACCACCAAGAUUGAAGAUGAACAAGCCUUGACCAUUCAGCUCCAGAAAAAGAUCAAGGAAUAACAGGUUCGUAUCGAGGAGCUGUAGUCUGACCGGGCGUCCUUUGCCAAGGUGGAGAAGCAGCUGGGUGAUGCCAAGAUGGAGGCGAACGAUCUGGCAUCCAACGUGGAACAGCUCUCCAAGAGCAAGGCUGAUGCUGAGAAGAUGUGUCGUCUGUAUGAGAACCAGAUAAGCGAGGCCAAGGGCAAGGUGGAUGAGCACCAGAAGUAGAACAAUGACACCAACUCCCAGAGAGCCCGCACUCAGGCCGACUGUGCCGAGUUUGGCAGAAAGCUGGAGGAGCGGGAAGCCGUGGUCACACAGCUGCAGCGCACCAAUCAUUCCUUCAGUCCAACAUUCCAUGUCAGCAGCCCUAUUCUGUAGUGGAGUGCUUAUUCAGAAUUGGGAAUGACAUGGAAAUGAAUGGGAUUGGGAAUAAUAGUAUUCCUGGUUCCAGCAUCAGUCUGGUAGCAAAAUGAAUGUGUAUAACCAUCUCAAUAUACAUACACCACCUAGUUGUUGUGCUUAAAAGUACGACUGACCUUACCUCCUUCCACCUUCUUGGCGCUAUCUCCACUAUCAUUGUCUUCAGACAUAGAGCGCCCUGGGCCAUGCUUUCCAGUCCUCCUGCCAUGACUGUGACCUGCUGAGGGAACAGUAUGACGAGGAGCAGGAGACCAAGGCUGACCUGCAGGGAACCCUGUCCAAGGCCAACGCUGAGGUGGCUCAGGGGCCGUUACAGUCAAUACUACUCACCAAUGUGCUAUCAUUGGACAAUAAACUAGACGAGGAAACCACUCACCCAGAGGCGGCGCUCCUACUGGCCGGAGACUUUAAUGCAGGGAAACUUAAAUCAGUUCUACCAAAUUUCCA